CUAUGCUGCUGAAGCACAUCCUGAGAAAGAUCCUGAAAAAAGGAGAUCCUGUUGCCUUGCCACUUGACUCUCCUCUUCUUGCGGGCUGCUUGAAGAACCGCUUCUCUUGCACUGUAUGGAGUUUGAUGCCCCUCCUCAGGUCAGCUCUGGCAGUGCUGUAGAGAGCUCUGUUUCCCGUCCUGAAGGCCGAGUUACAAGCUCUGAUCGGGGUUAGAGGAUUCAGCACUUAAAGCCGUAAUCUUAAGCUCACAAAGCCGUAAAAAGAAAUAGUUUCUAUGUCUCCCCAUUCCUGUUUGCGAGUGUUGCAGUUUGCAGACCAUAACACUCACUGACAUUAAAGGGGACAUAUUAUGCAAAACCCACUUUUUCCUUGCUUUACUAUGUAUAUUUGCAUAUCCGGAGUGCCUCCCAACCCCUUAAGAGUGAUUUAGGACCUCUAUGUCAAUGUUUUGUAAACAGGCGGAGUCAGGAAAUGUGUCUCUAAGAGAGCCAUUUGGAUUUCACCCGCACACUUACGUAACAGUGCGGGUGAUUUGAAUGCUCCCGCCCUCACGCUGGAUAUCUCCUCCCAUAUUACUCCGGCUACCUGAAGGAGGAUCCGCCAUUUUCUCGCUUCACUUGUAUGCGACAGCCUGACCGCAACCAUGUGCAACCUGAAAGCCAAGAACUCCUGCUCUGUCGUCGGAUGCACGGACACUCAUGUUUCCCUACAUCGCCUUCCUACCAAAGAGGAUAUCAGAGCGAAGUGGCUACAUUUUAUUUUUCAGGGAAACAUCCCAGCUUCACUGAGCAAAAGCGUUGUUGUCUGUGCACUUCACACUUCACACCUCACACCGGACUGUUUCAGCAUCCAGGGUCAGUAUCAGGCUGGACUGGCAACGAGAUUGUUCCUAAAAGAUGGAUCAAUACCCACUGUCCGUGUCAACACCACAGAAGAAGAAACUCCAAGCACAUCUGUACAGCAGUCUGUAGUGCAUCAUGUUGCCUUCCAGACAGACCAACCAGUGAAAUGCACGGUUGGCACACAGUUUUCCAUGAGAACUCUCCGACCUCACUUCAGAAGCACAGACUCUACCUGGCUGCCCUGCAUUACAAUGAAAAUACUGACCGACCACAGGCAACAUCUACAGCUGGAGAGCUGCUGUACAGUCAACUUCCCCAAAUCUAAGCAUGGAGAAUGAACUGCAAAGCCUGUGAAAGCAGAGCCAACAUUCCACUACGUUGAUGCACUGUUGGACCUGAUCUUCGAGAAGGUUUUCCAGGACCCUGGCCCAUAUGUGAACGAGGUGCUGAAACUUACAAUCCCUGAAGACCUUUCGGCUCAGUAUGAAAGACCCAACAAGCUGGACGUUAUAGCCAAUUACGUGCCAAGGUUCAAUCAAGGACAGGACUGAACCUAACAUACUGUCCUUCAGCAUCAGGGAACUCUGCACGAAUCCUCAGCACCACACAGGCAGGCAGCACAGCUCUCACUCUUCACCUCAGAAAGCACCAGCACCAGCUUACAAAGCUUCUGUAGGCUAUGUAUCUAUAUUGGCUGGACACAAU